UCGAGAAUCAUUCGCAAUGGGCGCAAGCCUGACGAUGCGACGCCGCGUGCAGGAUGAAGGUCUUCGGAUUGUAAACUGCUGUGAUGGGGGAGCAAUGCGGGACGUGUUAACACCACGUACCGUUGAUAGUACCCCAAGAGGAAGCCACGGCUAACUCUGUGCCAGCAGCCGCGGUAAUACAGAGGUGGCAAGCGUUGUUCGGAUUUACUGGGCGUAAAGGGUGCGUAGGCGGUCUUGUGUGUCGGAUGUGAAAUCCCACGGAUCAUCCGUGGAACUGCAUUCGAAACUGCAGGGCUGGAGUGCAGGAGAGGAAGGCGGAAUUCUCGGUGUAGCGGUGAAAUGCGUUGAUAUCGAGAGGAACGCCGGUGACGAAGGUGGCCUUCUGGACUGCAACUGACGCUGAGGCACGAAAGCUAGGGGAGCAAACA
rnacentral:rRNA from 1 species